GAUAACGCGUGGCGCGCACAUAAGACAUGCAAGUCGAACGGGACUUAACCGAUUAAGGUUUACUAUUGGAGCGGUUAGUGGCGGACUGGUGAGUAACACGUAAGCAACCUGCCUAUCAGAGGGGAACAACAGUUAGAAAUGACUGCUAAUACCGCAUAUGCCUAAGUACCACAUGGUACAAUAGGGAAAGGAGCAAUCCGCUGAUAGAUGGGCUUGCGUCUGAUUAGCUAGUUGGUGGGGUAAAGGCCUACCAAGGCGACGAUCAGUAGCCGGACUGAGAGGUUGAACGGCCACAUUGGGACUGAGAUACGGCCCAG
rnacentral:rRNA from 1 species